GGAAACCGUGUCCUACACAUAUGGACUGCUCCUCUGUACGCUUAGAGAGGUACGCUUGCCAAGGGCACUUGUCCUAACUCUGUUUUUCAUUAACAUUCAGUGAAUCCAUGGCAGUUGCAGGCUGGAUUUAGCCGCACACGCGUUGGCUGUUGGCUUGGUAGAUCUUUUUGAGGACUUGAAGGAAACCAGAGAACCCAAGAGGCAGAGACAAGGAGGGAAAGAAUUCCAGACAUGGGUGGACAGCCAGGGAAAAUGUUCCAGAGCUGGAAGAUGGAGUGUUCCACAAAGAACCAGGAGGCCAGUGUCUCUGGAGAAAGAGAGAUGAACUAGAUCAGAAGAAUCCAACUUGAGAGUCAGCAGCCCAAACAGUCCAUAAAACUCUGAAGUGCAGUCUCAACUAGAUUAAAAUGUAAUUGGAAUGUCUUUAACAAAACAAAUAAAAAUACAAUUCA
rnacentral:lncRNA from 1 species